rnacentral:lncRNA from 1 species
CCUUUCUAAAGUAACAUAUAAAAGAUAGAAAAACUAUUCUGUUAGAAUCGGAAAUUUGGGUAGUGCGUAAUUUAGCCAAACAAUGUUACAAUGACAAUAACAAAGACAAUACAAGUUGAAAAUAAUGGUAAUUAAAUCAAAUAAAGAAGACACAAAUUUAACGUGGUUCAGUCAAGGAGACCUACGUCCACAACCGGAGAGAAGCAAUUUUACUAUACCAACAAGAGUACAAAAGAGAGUAUAAAAUUAGAGUAAAUACUCUAAUAGCUCCAAAUAUCCCAAAAGAAUAACCUCACAAGAUCACUCCAAAGAAAGGGUUCACACAAACUUACAAAAUA